UACGGGGGGAGCAAGCGUUGUUCGGAUUUACUGGGCGUAAAGGGCGCGUAGGCGGUCAGCACAAGUCAGUCGUGAAAUCUCCGGGCUUAACUCGGAAAGGUCAACUGAUACUGUGCGACUAGAGUGCAGAAGGGGCAACUGGAGUUCUCGGUGUAGCGGUGAAAUGCGUAGAUAUCGAGAGGAACACCUGCGGCGAAGGCGGGUUGCUGGGCUGACACUGACGCUGAUGCGCGAAAGCCAGGGGAGCGAACGGG
rnacentral:rRNA from 1 species